GGGGCGGCCGGGAGGCGUUGGUUGGCGCGCACUGCCUGCGAGCGCGGGGACAGAAAAAACAUCCGCCGGAGGCCCAGCCGGGCAGCGCUCCAGCGGGGCCCGGCAGGUGCGCGCGGAGAGGAAGUGAGCGUAUUCCGGCCACUGGCCCUCCGAUCUCGCUGGUGCUCCAGCUUUGCUUCCGCUCUUGGCCCCAAGAUGCCAACACAAAUAAGGAGGCCUCAGGUUACCAGGACAACUGGAGCACAGGAAACUGUAAAGGUUCUACGCUCCUACAGGCAUCAUGGACUGUGGCUGCGCUGGCUUGAUUUCUCCUUAGGGGCUCAGUCAUACUUUCUGCUUCACGUCCUCAAAUUCUCCAGACUGGCAGAUGCUCAAGCCCAAGCGACAGACCCUGAUUUUAUAGAUCUGGUGGUGGAAUAUGCAAUGGGUGGCAUGGAGAAUGGUGAAUGAAGCUUUCUUACUAACACUGAUGAUAUUCUGUGUUGCCUUGGUGAUAAUUGAAUUUUAUAUGGUGAGAAUUAUAUUCCCUUGCGAGUUGAUGACAUUACAGGUUUUGGAGUCAGAAUGCUUAAUUUAUUUUUAUUAUUUGUAGUUGCCUCAGUGGACCUUGAGUCUUAGAUAUUUUUGGAUUCCUGGAUAGAUGUUUUCACAAUUAGCUUUGGGUCAAAAGACUUAGCAAUCUACUUCUGAUAAACUGGGAGCAGCUAAUGUUAGGCAAGAAAAGAAUAGUUACCAGAUAAUGAGUUUGAAUUCUAUUUACAUUUCACCAUAAAACUAGUCAUUUGUUUUAAGGAAGAUCAUCUGGUUUGAUUAAGUCUUUAAAGCCCUGAAUAAAUGAAAAUCUGCUUGCACACCUAAGCACUUAGAUGCUUAGAAAAUGUUGAAUCGGUCUAGAACUAGAGCAGGCCAUCUCCAUGGAGCUUCUUGGUGGGUUGGAGCAAAAGAGAAUAAAAGGUGAUAAGGCAGCCUUUAUAGCUCUUUUCAAAAAGCUGAAGGAUUCUCCUAUGGAGGAGGGGCUAUAUUUACUUGCUUUAGGUCCAGAAAUUAGAAUAAGCACCUUUAUUUCAGAUGACAGUGAUAGAGUGACAAACUUCUACUAUUAGUUGGUGAACCUUGAAUUGGAAUGAACUGAUUGUUAGGCAGUGAACUAUUUGGGACUGUAUUGUUUAUAUGGAGGUUAGAUUACUGCUUGCACAAGAUUUUGGAUGAGAGUUGGGACAUUAAAUUGAGUUUGGCCUGGAAGGAAAAGCAGGCAAAUUUAUUGGAGGGCAAUUUACCCUUUCUGUUAUGUGAUUCUGUGGCAACUCUUAAAGUCAUUACUGUUUUCCUAAGCACCUCUGCCAAGUUUACCCCCUUGAGUCAUUGAAUAUUAGAGUUGGUAGUAGAAUCUUUAGAAAUUUCUCAAAUGUUGUUCCCUAGUCCUCUGGAGAUCUCUCAAGAAUGCCUCAGAGGUGGCUGAGAGAAAUAAAAUGAAGGCUAGCUAAGACUCUGAGCUCUUGACCUAUGCUCAGCCAGAACAAUCUUGCCUUGUUUUUCCCCCAGAAAAAAAAAGGGUCCCAUUGGGGGAAAAACUUGCAAAGCCUAAUAUUCUAAGUUCUUCAAAUUUCUGACAAAGAAACUGUGAUAUGGAGCAGGGAAGUGUCUCGCCAGAAGUCAUACAGCUUGUAAAUUUCAGAGUUGGAAUUCAAAUUGAACCCUUCUAAUCCUAAUCUUCCACUCUACUAGCCCAACUUCUUGUAAUUCAGUACAAGUUUCUCUUAAUUUCUCUGACCCCACUGUAAUCCAGAAUUUUAUUUCUUAGAACUGUCUUCUGUUAGCCCCUGAAUUAUUCUCCCUGCUCACCAGUCUCUUCUUCUUCUGGUCUAUGUUAUAUACAUGGUUGCCAUGUUAUUCUUCUUGAAACAUUGUCUUUAUCAUGGGAUUUCCCUGCUUAAGAACCUUCUCUGGGGACGCCUGGGUGGCAGAGUCUGUUAAGCAUCUGCCUUCAGCUCCAGUCAUGAUCCCAGGAUCCUGGGAUCG